GGUUAAGUUAGAAAGGGCGCACGGUGGAUGCCUUGGCACUAGGAGCCUAAGAAGGACGCGACGAACGGCGAAACGCUUCGGGGAGCUGUAAGUAAGCUUUGAUCCGAAGAUAUCCGAAUGGGGGAACCCACCAUCCGUAAUGGGAUGGUACCCGUAUCUGAAUACAUAGGAUACGAGGAGGCAGACCUGGGGAACUGAAACAUCUAAGUACCCAGAGGAAGAGAAAGCAAAUGCGAUUUCCUGAGUAGCGGCGAGCGAAACGGAAACAGCCCAAACCAAGAGGCUUGCCUCUUGGGGUUGUAGGACGUCUCAUAUGGAGUAAGAAAAGACGAGUAUAGGUGAAGCGAUCUGGAAAGAUCCGCGAAACAAGGUAACAGCCCUGUAACCGAAAUACUCGUCUCUCCGAGACGGAUCCUGAGUACGGCGGGACACGUGAAACCCCGUCGGAAUCCGGGAGGACCAUCUCCCAAGGCUAAAUACUCCCUAGUGACCGAUAGUGAACCAGUACCGUGAGGGAAAGGUGAAAAGCACCCCGG
rfam:Bacillus akibai JCM 9157 DNA, contig:contig_142.